rnacentral:rRNA from 1 species
GACGGAGGAUGCAAGUGUUAUCCGGAAUCACUGGGCGUAAAGCGUCUGUAGGUGGUCAAAUAAGUCAACUGUUAAAUCUUGAGGCUUAACCUCAAAAUCGCAGUCGAAACUAUUAGACUAGAGUAUAGUAGGGGUAAAGGGAAUUUCCAGUGGAGCGGUGAAAUGCGUAGAGAUCCGGAAGAACACCGGCGGCGAAGGCGGCCCGCUGGGAUCCUUGCUGACGCUGAGGCGCGACAGCGUGGGGAGCAAACAGG